GCCGUCUGAACCCUUCGGGGGGACGACGGUGGAAUGAGCGGCGGACGGGUGAGUAACACGUAAAGAACCUGCCCAUAGGUCUGGGAUAACCACGAGAAAUCGGGGCUAAUACCGGAUGUGUCAUCGGACCGCAUGGUCCGCUGAUGAAAGGCGCUUCGGCGUCGCCCAUGGAUGGCUUUGCGGUGCAUUAGCUAGUUGGUGGGGUAACGGCCCACCAAGGCGACGAUGCAUAGCCGACCUGAGAGGGUGAUCGGCCACACUGGGACUGAGACACGGCCCAGACUCCUACGGGAGGCAGCAGUAGGGAAUCUUCCACAAUGGACGAAAGUCUGAUGGAGCAACGCCGCGUGAACGAUGAAGGCUUUCGGGUCGUAAAGUUCUGUUGUAAGGGAAGAACAAGUGCCGCAGGCAAUGGCGGCACCUUGACGGUACCUUGCGAGAAAGCCACGGCUAACUACGUGCCAGCACGCGCGGUAAU
rnacentral:rRNA from 1 species